rnacentral:rRNA from 1 species
UACGGGGGGGGCAAGCGUUGUUCGGAAUUACUGGGCGUAAAGGGUUCGUAGGUGGCCAACUAAGUCAGACGUGAAAUCCCUCAGCUUAACUGGGGAACUGCGUCUGAUACUGGAUGGCUUGAGAUUGGGAGAGGGAUGCGGAAUUCCAGGUGUAGCGGUGAAAUGCGUAGAUAUCUGGAGGAACACCGGUGGCGAAGGCGGCAUCCUGGACCAACACUGACGCUGAGGAGCGAAAGCCAGGGGAGCAAACGGG